rnacentral:rRNA from 1 species
GAUUCCUCUGGGCUGUAAACCUCUUUUCUCAAGGAAGAAGAUAUGACGGUACUUGAGGAAUAAGCCACGGCUAAUUCCGUGCCAGCAGCCGCGGUAAUACGGGAGUGGCAAGCGUUAUCCGGAAUUAUUGGGCGUAAAGCGUCCGCAGGCGGCUUUUCAAGUCUGCUGUUAAAGCGUGGAGCUUAACUCCAUUAUGGCAGUGGAAACUGAAAGGCUUGAGUAUGGUAGGGGCAGAGGGAAUUCCCGGUGUAGCGGUGAAAUGCGUAGAUAUCGGGAAGAACACCAGUGGCGAAGGCGCUCUGCUGGGCCAUUACUGACGCUCAUGGACGAAAGCCAGGGGAGCGAAAGGGAUUAGAUACCCCUGUAGUCCUGGCCGU